GAUGUGAAAUCCCCGGGCUCAACCUGGGAACUGCAUUCGAAACUGGCAGGCUAGAGUCUUGUAGAGGGGGGUAGAAUUCCAGGUGUAGCGGUGAAAUGCGUAGAGAUCUGGAGGAAUACCGGUGGCGAAGGCGGCCCCCUGGACAAAGACUGACGCUCAGGUGCGAAAGCGUGGGGAGCAAACAGGAUUAGAUACCCUGGUAGUCCACGCCGUAAACGAUGUCGAUUUGGAGGUUGUGCCCUUGAGGCGUGGCUUCCGGAGCUAACGCGUUAAAUCGACCGCCUGGGGAGUACGGCCGCAAGGUUAAAACUCAAAUGAAUUGACGGGGGCCCGCACAAGCGGUGGAGCAUGUGGUUUAAUUCGAUGCAACGCGAAGAACCUUACCUGGUCUUGACAUCCACAGAACUUAGCAGAGAUGCUUUGGUGCCUUCGGGAACUGUGAGACAGGUGCUGCAUGGCUGUCGUCAGCUCGUGUUGUGAAAUGUUGGGUUAAGUCCCGCAACGAGCGCAACCCUUAUCCUUUGUUGCCAGCGGUUAGGCCGGGAACUCAAAGGAGACUGCCAGUGAUAAACUGGAGGAAGGUGGGGAUGACGUCAAGUCAUCAUGGCCCUUACGACCAGGGCUACACACGUGCUACAAUGGCAUAUACAAAGAGAAGCGACCUCGCGAGAGCAAGCGGACCUCAUAAAGUAUGUCGUAGUCCGGAUUGGAGUCUGCAACUCGACUCCAUGAAGUCGGAAUCGCUAGUAAUCGUAGAUCAGAAUGCUACGGUGAAUACGUUCCCGGGCCUUGUACACACCGCCCGUCACACCAUGGGAGUGGGUUGCAAAAGAAGUAGGUAGCUUAACCUUCGGGAGGGCGCUUACCACUUUGUGAUUCAUGACUGGGGUGAAGUCGUAACAAGGUAACCGUAGGGGAACCUGCGGUUGGAUCACCUCCUU
rnacentral:rRNA from 1 species